rnacentral:rRNA from 1 species
UUCUCUGAUGUUAGCGGCGGACGGGUGAGUAACACGUGGAUAACCUACCUAUAAGACUGGGAUAACUUCGGGAAACCGGAGCUAAUACCGGAUAAUAUUUUGAACCGCAUGGUUCAAAAGUGAAAGACGGUCUUGCUGUCACUUAUAGAUGGAUCCGCGCUGCAUUAGCUAGUUGGUAAGGUAACGGCUUACCAAGGCAACGAUGCAUAGCCGACCUGAGAGGGUGAUCGGCCACACUGGAACUGAGACACGGUCCAGACUCCUACGGGAGGCAGCAGUAGGGAAUCUUCCGCAAUGGGCGAAAGCCUGACGGAGCAACGCCGCGUGAGUGAUGAAGGUCUUCGGAUCGUAAAACUCUGUUAUUAGGGAAGAACAUAUGUGUAAGUAACUGUGCACAUCUUGACGGUACCUAAUCAGAAAGCCACGGCUAACUACGUGCCAGCAGCCGCGGUAAUACGUAGGUGGCAAGCGUUAUCCGGAAUUAUUGGGCGUAAAGCGCGCGUAGGCGGUUUUUUAAGUCUGAUGUGAAAGCCCACGGCUCAACCGUGGAGGGUCAUUGGAAACUGGAAAACUUGAGUGCAGAAGAGGAAAGUGGAAUUCCAUGUGUAGCGGUGAAAUGCGCAGAGAUAUGGAGGAACACCAGUGGCGAAGGCGACUUUCUGGUCUGUAACUGACGCUGAUGUGCGAAAGCGUGGGGAUCAAACAGGAUUAGAUACCCUGGUAGUCCACGCCGUAAACGA